rnacentral:misc_RNA from 1 species
UGGUUCUGGCAUCGAUGAAGAACGCAGCGAAAUGCGAUAAGUAAUGUGAAUUGCAGAAUUCAGUGAAUCAUCGAAUCUUUGAACGCACAUUGCACCCGGUGGUAUUCCGCCGGGUAUGCCUGUUCGAGCGUCAUUCUCACCCCUCAAGCCUGUCUUGGUGUUGGGGACUGCGAAUCUUGCAGCCCUAGAGUCGAGUAGCGUCACCUGCGGGUCCUAAGCGUAGUAAUUUCUCCUCGCUACAGAACCUGCUGGUGGAUAGUGUAAUCCCAGCGAACGCUGCGUGUCCUGCUAUAAAACCCCCCAUUUUUCAUGUUUGACCUCGGAUCAAGUAGGGAUACCCGCUGA